AGUUUGAUCAUGGCUCAGAUUGAACGCUGGCGGCAUGCCUUACACAUGCAAGUCGAACGGCAGCGCGGGGCAACCUGGCGGCGAGUGGCGAACGGGUGAGUAAUAUAUCGGAACGUGCCCUGGAGUGGGGGAUAACGCAGCGAAAGUUGCGCUAAUACCGCAUACGAUCUAAGGAUGAAAGCGGGGGAUUCGCAAGAACCUCGUGCUCCUGGAGUGGCCGAUAUCUGAUUAGCUAGCUGGUGGGGUAAAGGCCUACCAAGGCAUCGAUCAGUAGCUGGUCUGAGAGGACGACCAGCCACACUGGAACUGAGACACGGUCCAGACUCCUACGGGAGGCAGCAGUGGGGAAUUUUGGACAAUGGGCGCAAGCCUGAUCCAGCAAUGCCGCGUGAGUGAAGAAGGCCUUCGGGUUGUAAAGCUCUUUUGUCAGGGAAGAAACGGUGCGGGCUAAUAUCCCGCACUAAUGACGGUACCUGAAGAAUAAGCACCGACUAACUACGUGCCAGCAGCCGCGGUAAUACGUAGGGUGCAAGCGUUAAUCGGAAUUACUGGGCGUAAAGCGUGCGCAGGCGGUUUUGUAAGUUUGUCGUGAAAUCCCC
rnacentral:rRNA from 1 species